UUAGUUUGGUCUGGGUGGUUUGUCAGGAGCCUGCCCAGUGACCUGUCAUUUUCCCUGGACGUUGCGCGGCGUGCGGUGGUACGAAAGCCGGGCGGGAGCAUUCAACUAUUCUGUCAUUCCAUUGUACUCAGACGCGUAACAAGUACGACGUCGUCAAGGUUGGAUGCUACUCACUUGGGAGGACGGAGUCUUGAGCCACCAUCGGAUCACUGAGUUAUCCAGGCGUUCUUCGAGGCGGCAUAGCAGGGAGGGGUACCAGGUUUUGUAUACACACAAAACACGCCUAUUAAGGCUGCAUAUUGUCACCGAAUAAGGUUCGCUUAGCGAAGCUUAUUAAGUGACCCACAGUGACCGGAGAGGCGCUAAUAUACACUACACAGGUGCAGGGGAACGGGGGGACAUUCCGCUUUUAGCUUUGGUUUGUUAGGUAUGUAUCGCGCCGCAGUGCUCGGUAUGCACUCCCAGCCUACGGUGGCUUUCGCGUUCCGACUGGUUAAGGGGGGGGGGGGGUCGUUAAGAUGUCUUUCAGGUUUCCCGAGGACAUCGAGACUCUGUUACACAGUGACUUUGGGAUCUUCAUGGUGUGGAUUGAAGCAGACAUUCCUCGAGUCCCACUACUGCCUGCCUAGCUGCCACAUGGUUCGAGGCAUCUUGAGUGGUAUAAGUGGUAUCAAAGUCUCUCGUUACUUUUAAUUUUCUUUUGUCAUACACGUGUUUCUGUAUACCUAGAGGUUCCUGGAUGCAUUCACGUUGUGUGAUCAUAACAGCAAUGUUUGGCAACUUCCAGGCCCGCUAUUCUAAGAUCCACUUAGCGGGUUAACGGAAGGCACGUUGCCAUACAAGCAUUUAUCCUUCAACAUUAUGUUGUGUCGAGUUGUCUUUCCAGGUAUGCUGCCCUCUUCUGCAGUGUAGAGCCGAACAAUCAAGAUCAUUGACAGCCUUUCCAAACGGAUGACCUGUACUUUUGAUUGUCAUGAUCAACCCGUUCCUUUGAAAUGUUGCUUUUAGUUCAAUAAAACGUCCGCUUAUUGUUUCACCA